GUGAGGCGGCGGUCGGGACGCGCGGCAUCUCCGCCCCGCGGCCCGCCGCGGCCCUCACGCCU
ensembl:miRNA gga-mir-12226 gga-mir-12226